rnacentral:rRNA from 1 species
UACGUAGGGGGCAAGCGUUGUCCGGAAUCAUUGGGCGUAAAGAGCGUGUAGGCGGCCCGGUAAGUCCGCUGUGAAAGUCCCAGGGCUCAACCCUGGGAUGCCGGUGGAUACUGUCGGGCUCGAGUCCGGAAGAGGAGUGUGGAAUUCCUGGUGUAGCGGUGAAAUGCGCAGAUAUCAGGAGGAACACCAAUGGCGAAGGCAGCACUCUGGACGUGACUGACGGCUGAGACGCGAAAGCGUGGGGAGCAAACAGG